rnacentral:lncRNA from 1 species
CGCUGUAGAGCUCCGAUGAUGGCUGUUGGCCGAAUGGAUGAAUGGCUUCAUUAACUUCACUGCAACACGCAGGAGUCCUUGAUCUCCCCCCUUGAAAGGGCUGGAGCACAGUGGCAUGAUCUCGGCUAACUGCAACCUCUGCCUGCCUCCCAGGUUCAAGCAAUUCUCCUGCCUCAGCCUCCCAAGUAGCUGGGAUUACAGGCAAACAAUGGACUAUUGACUAAGCUUUCAGAGCUGUGGGUGUUCUCAGAGGGAGGCCAGCCAGAACACCAGCAUCUCCGGCUUUUCUUCCAACUCCCAAGUUGGAGCUCCAUCUAUCAGAAAUAUGAAACCCUGGAAUCUUCCUCCUCCUCACUUCUCUGCCUUAAGGAUCCUAGUCCACUGCCUGGAACAUGGAAGAUGCUCCAUAAUUGUUUGCUGAAGGAACGAGUGAUAACCAGAGAAGCCAGCUCCUGCUUCCUGAUUAAGGCAUGCAGUCAGGCCAGUGGGGAAAUGGGCCUCAUGGUGGAGCUUGCCUCUGCUGGAAGACUGACGGAGCCAGGGGCUCUGCCUGCCACAAUUCAUGAGCUGGCCAGAGGUCUUUGGAUUCCUCCCAGUCAUUGCUGAGAUGAGUGAGGAUUGUUUCAGAAAAUCAGGCCUCCUCCUGGGGAAUGUGCCUCAGCUUCUGGGCUGCAUCAGUGAUUUGGACACCCCUUAAGGACAAAGAGCGUGGUUGGGAGAAGAGCGCUUUCCACCCCUCUCCUUCAGGACCAUCCUGGAUGCAGCUGCAACUCUGCUCUUGGCUGUCCUAUGGCUGGCAAUAGCUUUCUUGCUCUCUGGCAGGCAAAAAGCAGGGUGUGUGUGUGUGUGUGUGCAUGCGUGCACGUGCUCAUGUGUGCAUGCACUGGAAAGCUAAGGCUGAGGCAUCGAAUGACAAGAUCCCUGAAGUAAAAGGCUCCACAGCUGCUUACCCAACCCCUAAUUUGCUGGGGCUGGGCUCCUUCUAAUGGGCUGCCAGACCCUGGUAGGCACAAGGAGACUGGCUGUAUAUGUCUCGUGUCCCCUGGGCGACUGUCCCAGUGAGCAAGGACACCACCAACCUUCUUCCCCCCUACACCCUCCAUAGGACAGUGAGAUCCUGCAUUGGAUUAUGCAUGAGGUGUAUACACUCUGCUUGUACGUAUGUAUGGAAGAAAGGAUUUUGGCUUGAAACAUUUUUUUUAUUGGCAGAGACAGCACUUCUCUUAAAGGAAAUGGCGGAAUUUGCCAAACUAAGCCUCCAGAAGAAAAUAUAACGGAGAGUGUAAAAGAAAUCCAUGUUCAAACAUUGGCAAGUGUGAAACAUUCAAGAUUUUUGUGUGAACAUCACAUUGUGGGAGCAAAAUUAAAUUAAGCUGGUCUCUGGCAAGCAUUGGAAUGAAAGCAGAACUGGAGCAAGCGGAUGGUGCUUGGGCAUUUUUUGCAAGAAGCCAAACAGAGCAUAAUCAGAUGACAACCAGGGAUCCCAAGGGCUGGGUUCUUUUCUUCAUCUCAUUAACACACAAGAACUUAACUGCUUUGGGUCCGGAGGGUCCCAAGGAAGUGCCAAAAGAACCUGAACUUUCUUCACCUCCACAACUCAAUGACAGGCAGAGAAGGAAUGAAUUUCAUUCAAAAAAUAUUUAUUGAGCAUCCUCAGAAUAUUUAUUGUGCAAACUACUGUUCCAGGCACCAAAGGAGGGGAUGGUCCCAGCUCCUUUAUGGAGUCUGCAGUCCACAGACUUGAACUCAACUAACUAGAAGGAAAGGCAGCUCAGAGCAAGUGCCCUGCUGGAGAUUGAAGCAAAGUGCCAGAGAACGUGGGGGGUCAUUCAAGAAUGAGGUUGGAAGAGAUCAUUCUCCUGUUUGCAAAUGAGAAACAAGUAUAGGUGUGAAGAGACCUGUCCACAGCCAUUCAACAAAUGAAAAGUCCAAUCGAAGAUGGGACCUGAUUUCUUACACCCCAGGUAUCUGCUCAUCAUCUUGGGUAAGACCACAGGGACCACCAAGACACCCAGAAGAGACACUUGAUUGUUUCCUGGAUGUUCCAGUUUUGGGGCCCAUAGAUAUAUGCCAUUUACUUUACAUGCUUUCUAAG